AAAACCAUAUAUUUCUCUUAUAUAUAUGGACAAAACACAAAUUCAUUUUUAGUGCGCGUUUUGCAAUGGCGUUAUGUUUCCGAUUUCCCUUUUUAGUGUUACUGUUGUGGAUGUCCACAUGAUUCAAGACGGGAAACGUGCAGUUGUUCCGAUUUCCAGCAGAAAAUAAACAAUUUUACAAGUGGAAGAUGUGCAGUAGAGCCAAUCGAGAUCCGAAGUAGAGUGAUGGUAACAAAAUGUUGGGUCACCACUACCAUAUUAUUCCCAUGGAAUAAAGAGGGCACGUGGAAAUUUCUUUAUCCAGAAACGUGGAAAAGAAAAACCAAAAAAGUUUGACCAGUAAGAAAUGUAACGAAGAACCCGGAGCCAUGGAAGCAGGUCCUUUCACUUCAACAUUUCCGAUAAAAUUUCGAACACUUGAAAAAACCGAGUUGUAUCUAUUAUGUACGUUGAUGGUUUCGAUUAAAUUUAAAAUAUUUUAAGUGUUUUAGAUUUACAGUGAGUAGGUAACAUGAAUGCAAAACAUUAUCGUCACAUAUUUAUAUGUGCUACUUGUAAUGUUGUACGCGGGCCUUAUGAGUAAUAUGACUAGUAGAGAGAAAAAUUAUCUUUUUAUAUCGACAUACUUCAAAGACAUCACAAAUGGCAGAAUUGUGCUGGAUUGCACGGAAAUUGAAGGUGCUAUUCCUUUAAAAAAGCUUUAUCUUCUGAUUACAAGCAGUGCAGCAACAACUUUUGCGAGUGAUAUAUUUCCAGGAUCAUUACAUUAGACAAAGUGGCAUCAUGCCUCAUUUGAGAGAGCAUUCCACUGUAUUGUUCAAACUUGUGCACCACUAGAUUUUCAAUAUGAGAAUUAAAAAAAUGUUUACCAUUGGCCACUGAUUAAAUGAAUUAAAAUUAAGGAAGAUGUACAAAUAGUUUUAUUUCAUUUUCCAUAUGUGUAAAUAUCAAUACAUAUUUAAUUAAAAACUAAAAUCACUUACUAAGAAAACU